UACAGAGGGGGCGAGCGUUGUUCGGAAUUACUGGGCGUAAAGGGCGCGUAGGCGGCCCGCUAAGUCGAACGUGAAAUCCCCGGGCUCAACCCGGGAACUGCGUCCGAUACUGGCAGGCUUGAAUCCGGGAGAGGGAUGUGGAAUUCCAGGUGUAGCGGUGAAAUGCGUAGAUAUCUGGAGGAACACCGGUGGCGAAGGCGGCAUCCUGGACCGGUAUUGACGCUGAGGCGCGAAAGCUAGGGGAGCAAACGGG
rnacentral:rRNA from 1 species